rfam:Allomyces macrogynus ATCC 38327 genomic scaffold supercont3.42, whole genome shotgun sequence.
AGCGUCUUGGCGCAGGGGAAGCGCGCAGGGCUCGUAACCCUGAGGUCGCAGGAUCGAAACCUGCAGACGCUA